rnacentral:rRNA from 1 species
GAUGAACGCUGGCGGCGUGCCUAAUACAUGCAAGUCGAGCGAACGGACGAGAAGCUUGCUUCUCUGACGUUAGCGGCGGACGGGUGAGUAACACGUGGAUAACCUACCUAUAAGACUGGGAUAACUUCGGGAAACCGUAGCUAAUACCGGAUAAUAUUUUGAACCGCAUGGUUCAAAAGUGAAAGACGGUCUUGCUGUCACUUAUAGAUGGAUCCGCGCUGCAUUAGCUAGUUGGUAAGGUAACGGCUUACCAAGGCAACGAUGCAUAGCCGACCUGAGAGGGUGAUCGGCCACACUGGAACCGAGACACGGUCCAGACUCCUACGGGAGGCAGCAGUAGGGAAUCUUCCGCAAUGGGCGAAAGCCUGACGGAGCAACGCCGCGUGAGUGAUGAAGGUCUUCGGAUCGUAAAACUCUGUUAUUAGGGAAGAACAUAUGUGUAAGUAACUAUGCACAUCUUGACGGUACCUAAUCAGAAAGCCACGGCUAACUACGUG